CGUGUAGGCGGCCGAUCAAGUCCGGUGUGAAAGCCCGAGGCUCAGCUUCGGAAGUGCAUCGGAAACUAGCCGGCUCGAGCGCGAUAGAGGAGGGUGGAAUUCCUGGUGUAGCGGUGAAAUGCGUAGAUAUCAGGAGGAACACCGGCGGCGAAGGCGGCCCUCUGGAUCGUUGCUGACGCUGAGACGCGAAAAGCGUGGGGAGCAAACAGGAUUAGAUACCCUGGUAGUCCACGCUGUAAACGAUGGGUACUAGGUGUUCGGGGUGUUGACCCCCUGAGUGCCGACGCUAACGCAUUAAGUACCCCGCCUGGGGACUACGGCCGCAGGUUAAA
rnacentral:rRNA from 1 species